rnacentral:rRNA from 1 species
CGGUGAGUGGACAGUGGCAGACGGGUGAGUAACGCGUGGGAAUUUACCCAAAGGUACGGGACAACCAUUGGAAACGAUGGCUAAUACCGUAUGUGCCCCUUCGGGGGGAAAGAUUCAUCGCCUUUGGAUGAGCCCGCGUUGGAUUAGCUUGUUGGUGAGGUAAAGGCUCACCAAGGCGACGAUCUAUAGCUGGUCUGAGAGGACGAUCAGCCACACUGGGACUGAGACACGGCCCAG